rnacentral:snoRNA from 1 species
CUGGCCUCUUCGAAGAUCCUUAUACUUACUUGGUAGUAUAAUGAUUCAAAGCGAAGCCUAGAACAAAUUCAGCACUAGAUCUGUUUACUCCCAAGAAAACAUCAAUAGGGGAGUAAAGCUAAU